rnacentral:rRNA from 1 species
AACGAACGCUGGCGGCAUGCCUAACACAUGCAAGUCGAACGAACCCUUCGGGGUGAGUGGCGCACGGGUGCGUAACACGUGGGAACCUGCCCUUAGGUUCGGAAUAACACAGAGAAAUUUGUGCUAAUACCGGAUAAUGUCUUCGGACCAAAGAUUUAUCGCCUUUGGAUGGGCCCGCGUGGGAUUAGCUAGUUGGUGAGGUAAAGGCUCACCAAGGCGACGAUCCUUAGCUGGUCUCAGAGGAUGAUCAGCCACACUGGGACUGAGACACGGCCCAGACUCCUACGGGAGGCAGCAGUGGGGAAUAUUGGACAAUGGGCGAAAGCCUGAUCCAGCAAUGCCGCGUGAGUGAUGAAGGCCUUAGGGUUGUAAAGCUCUUUUACUGGGGAUGAUAAUGACAGUACCCAGAGAAUAAGCCCCGGCUAACUCCGUGCCAGCCGCCGCAGUAAUAC